rfam:Thioclava sp. SK-1 scaffold26_cov1996_read209, whole genome shotgun sequence.
AGCGUAUUUUGCCCAGGCGGAGCUCGACCGCCAAUUUCGCAAGGUUCGCCCCGAACGCUUUCAUUGAAGAACAUCGCGCUGAGUUCGGGGUCGAGCCGAUGUGCAAAAUGCUGCAAAUCGCCCAG